UACGUAGGGGGCAAGCGUUAUCCGGAUUUACUGGGUGUAAAGGGAGCGUAGACGGCAGAGCAAAUCUGAAGUGAAAGCCCGCGGCCCAACUGCGGGACUGCUUUGGAAACUGCCCGGCUAGAGUGCUGGAGAGGUAAGCGGAAUUCCUAGUGUAGCGGUGAAAUGCGUAGAUAUUAGGAGGAACACCAGUGGCGAAGGCGGCUUACUGGACAGUAACUGACGUUGAGGCUCGAAAGCGUGGGGAGCAAACAGG
rnacentral:rRNA from 1 species